CAUGCACUAGGGAGUGGGAGUCCACUCUAUGCGGUCUGGCUCGUACAGAUGUAAUGGUUGAAAAGGGUCCUAUUACAUUUUGUAUGGGUUACUACCUGAACAGACAUGCGCCAACUGUAGUGUCACAUAGUAUAAGGUGCGACCACCGCUUAUAUAGAGGGGGCAAAAUUCCUGGUUUCUUUUCGAAUUAAAUAAACCAAAAUAUUUUUAUCAUAGAAUUUAAUACACCCUAUACCCAUCGCUUUAUUCCUUGUUCCUCACAAUAUCCCAUGAAUUCUCCUAAUAUAACUCACCUCUCCUGUCAGAUCAAACAACUUUUAUUGGCUUCCCAGUCUCCUUCCUAACCAUCGCCCUGAACUUCUUAAGCACUUUGAACACCUUGAAUUUCUUUCGUAAGAAAUAUACCCACGUCUUCAAUGAAAAGUCAUAC
rnacentral:lncRNA from 1 species